UUUUACCAAACUUUGACUGUAGAUUUAACUAAUAAAAUGUUGCAUGUGGAUUCACAUUUAAACAAAGUUUUUAAUGAUAUUAUUUUUGCUACAUACAAUAUGUAUUUUAUGAGUUAAAAUAAUGAUCAAAAUAUGAAUUUAAAUACGAGAAGGACUAAUAAACCAGGACCAAGGUAGUAAUUCAUGUGACUUCUCUUUGAUACAACAACAUUACACUAGUAGUUCCGUCCUAGUUUAUUGCUAUUUUAUUGCUAUUUUACCAAACUUUGGCUAUAGAUUUAACUAAUAAAAUGUUGCAUGUCACUGGAAGUUAUAUCGCUGGAUUCACAUUUAAACAUAGUUUUUAAUAAUAUUGUUUUUGCUAGAUACAACAUGUAUUUUAUGAGUUAAAAUAAUGAUCAAAAUAUGAAUCUAAAUACGAGAAGGAGUAAUAAACCAGGACCGAGGUAGUAAUUCAUGUGACUUCUCUUUGAUUUGACUGUAUAUACGAUUCUUGUUUUUGCCUUUCUUAACCAAAUGCACAAGUCUAUAGAAUUAAUACGUUUUCAUAUCCCAUGUUUUGGGGUUGAAUUCCAGCCCUAAUCUUAUGAUUUUAUGCUUUAAUUUGUUGCUGUUCCAACAUUAUCACCAAGAGGCUUUUAGCAAACUCAGCCCAAUCACAAAAGCAUGAAAUCUGGCAACUCAUUGUAUUAUUUGGUCUUCCUCGAGAAAGAUUAUACACAAGACAGGGAACGGAACUAGAUUCCGAUUUAUAAUAUAGGGGGUUUCCUUUAUAACAUGAUAGAAAAGCAUUGCUUUUUCUACACCCCAUUUUGGAAAAUAAUUCACGCAUUUUAAAUCCUUUGAAUCGGUAAAAUCAUGCCAUUUCGCCUCCACUCUUUGGGAAUGGCAUUAAAACAAGGUCAAUUUGAACCCUAAUUUUCUAGGUUUUUCAAUUCAAAGCUUUUUAAUCGGUUAAAAAUCAAUAAAACGAUCAUAGAAAAAUGUAAUUGACAAAGACACCUCACUAUACAGGUAUGGUACUUAUGUAAGCGUGCAGGACCUCAAAUGUAGCUAUCGAAAGGGUGUGUGGUACCGUCUGUCCUAUAGUACUCUGAAAUUGAAGAGACUGCAUACAACUUGAUUAACCAGUACAUGCAUACAGUGCCUUUUGGAUAGCUUCAACGGGCAAUGGCAACCUUGGUCGACUAGAAGGUACGUGCAAUGCGCACGGUGACAUGCAAACGGCAGUUGAAGUGAAACCUGCUGUACCAUACCGUUUUGAAUGAAAAUUAUGAUUACCCCCAGCCUGAAUGAUGAACACAGCAAUUUACUAAAAUGAACCAAGUAUUAAAGUAUCAAGAGCAGCUCAGGUACAUGAAACCAAAAUUUACAUGACGAAAUGCCAAAAAAAGAACCAACAUUGCAGUUUUAGUAACUACAUGACAUAUCUUGGUACAUUGAGAGAUUGACCAUAAAUUACUUUCUUUGCAUGUACAUAGUAUGUGUGAUACAGUAUUGAUGCCAUUAGCUGUAGUUGUAUUUACAAGUAGCCCCAUGUUUUGAACUUGACUAUAAACAAAAAUUUCAAACUUUGACUAGAAACACCUUUUUAAUUACUUAUAUUGGAAUUUCAGAAAGUAUUUGUAGGAUCUAUAAACAAAAAAAUGAAACUUCAACCAGAAAUAGCUUUUUAAUUACUUAUAUUGGAGUUUCAGAAAGUAUUUAAAGUUUCAUUUGAAGAUGGUUUCAGUUUUUCAAAACGGUAAACCUGUGAUUGUAUAUAGCAUCCUAAUUUUAUAACAAGAUUUCUUUCUCUAGAGAAAGUCCUACUGUUUUCCUCAAAAAGAAAAGAAAAAACAAGGUAUUUACCUGAGAGUGAACUGCUUCUAAACUACUAUAUAUCUACCAUCCCUUGGUGAAGACAUUCCAAGACGUAUUCCACCAUUUUGCAAAUCACAAGCCCGAAAUUGCCAGCUUAAAACGAAAUGCCCAAACAAAGACUUGCCAAGACAAACUUAAUUUCUACAAGUACUAUUGUGAUAAAAACAGGGACUGUGCAAAGGGACUACAUGAGACCAAAUGGCAGCAGAUAGGAACUCUUAAUCAUCAAAAAGACACCUUAAAACACAUGGACAACACAUGGACGGAGUAAUUCAGCGUUAUUACUUGUGAUCCCUGAACUGGCACUAUCACAGCUUAUCAGGAGAAUGUAAGUCUCGGUAUAUUAAUAAAUAAAUAAAAACAAAGUUAGUCGACUACACAGAAUUUGUGUGUAGAGUAACCAUGUAGAGUAACAAGUACCAGCAUAAACUAUCAGAAUAUGUUUCGGACCAUAACAGAUCAAAUGGCAAACACAUGUGGCAGAUGAACAACAAUGGUAGGUAGUUUUGAAACUUACUGAUACCAUGAGAAAAAUAAGUGGUGAAGAUUGGUGAUUACACUAACAAGCAGGUGGGAAUUAAUGUCUCUAUGCAACUACAUGAAUCAGUGAUAUAUUGAACAAUAGUGUAAUACACACAUUAAUAGGGGGAAACUCGCAUUCAGGAGUACAAUAACAGGAAAGAAUUUAUACAACAGGCAUCUUUGGAUGACACCCAUGUCAUGCAUGCUAGACGCUACAACUACAGGGAGAAGGCAUUACAUGUGGAAUUUAAGUGCAGUAAGCAUUUAUCAUCACUAAGAGCAAGUUAGCAAAACAAAGGGAAUGGGACCAUUGGGCUAUCUUACGCUCUGGCAACUUAAUUAGUCAUCAGUCAUCUUUGGAGUACUACCACUAGAAUUUAUUUACUUGCAUUUUAUCAUAGCAAUAUGUGCCCAAUUAAUGCCUAAAACAAGAAACUAACCAGCAUGGAAGAAAGGAAAGAAACGGGGGAAGGUGAAAAGGACUUGCAUUAUAC
rnacentral:lncRNA from 1 species